rnacentral:rRNA from 1 species
CAGCCGCCGCGGUAAUACAGAGGGUGCGAGCGUUAAUCGGAUUUACUGGGCGUAAAGCGUGCGUAGGCGGCUAAUUGAGUCGGAUGUGAAAUCCCCGAGCUUAACUUGGGAAUUGCAUUCGAUACUGGUUAGCUAGAGUGUGGGAGAGGAUGGUAGAAUUCCAGGUGUAGCGGUGAAAUGCGUAGAGAUCUGGAGGAAUACCGAUAACGAAGGCAGCCAUCUGGCCUAACACUGACUCUGAGGUACGAAAGCAUGGGGAGCAAACAGGAUUAGAUACCCCCGUAGUCCCUGUCUCUUAUAA